AUGAAAAUCAUAGGGUGGAACUGUCGUGGUAUGCUCUCCCCCAUGGCAGUUCGCGAGCUCUUGGAUCUACAAGGGCGGACCAAGGCAGAUUUAAUUUUUCUUUCCGAGUCUCAUCUGAAUAAAUGUAAAGCUGAUGAGCUUCGUCGUGUUUUAGACUUUGAUUCGAUGUUUGUAGUGGAGAGUGAUGGUCGGGCCGGUGGCCUCGUUAUGUUUUACCACAAAAUGAAUAAAGUUGUUUUAAACUAUGUGGCGGCUAAUUUUAUAAAUGUUCCUUUUCUGAAUGACAAUGUUGUACAAUGGCGUUUUACGGGCUUUUAUGGUCAUCCGAAUUGGAGGGAUCGUAAUUUAUCUUGGGAUGAUAUCCGUAACUUGCACAAUAAAGGUGAUCACCCUUGGGUGGUUUUGGGCAAUUUUAAUAAAAUUCUUCUUUCUUCGGAAAAAGAGGGAGGCAAUGCGAGACCUAAUACAAUGAUGAGAGACUUUCGUAAUUGUUUGGGAGAAUGCGGAUUGGAAGAUAUGAGAUGUAUCGGGGACCCUUUCACUUAG
rnacentral:rRNA from 1 species